AGUGGCAGCACCGUCCAGCUAAAACUCUUAGCUCCAGUUCUCAUACUACGGAGUAGUCACUCAGCAUCCUAUGGUUGGCUAUGCUGGCUUCUUGGAUAUCUUGUCAGUCACCGCUGGUCCAUUGACCAAGAGAGGUGCGUAUAGUGUCGGUCUCAAUGGAGAUAACUUUUAUCGCAACAUUUGAAAAAUGUGUAGACGCGGCACUGCAUAGCGGCUUGUGGUUUCGAAAGUAAAAAUGAAGUGGAGAUUCCGACGCUAGAAUAAGACAUGAACUUUGCACAUCAAAUCCCGUGUACGAAAUUUGUCCCCAAAAAGGAAACAUCUUUUACGUGUAAUAUGUACGACGUAGAAAAGUCAUGAGAAAUAGAAUAAGAAUGGUAAAUAUUUCCGACAUAAUGAUUCUUUUCCAGAAAACAAUGACAUUGUGAAUUACGAAGCAGAAAAACGAAUUUUCCUAAAGUGCACGUGAGUGAUGUGGUGUUAAUAGUGGCUAUUUUUCGUUUUAGGAAAUACUAAGAUAAUUUGAGACUGAUGUAUUAUAGGACAUUAUGUGCUUCAAAAUUGUGACGUGUAUAGUUUAAAAGCGGUGAGCACGUGCCUAAUGUAUUCAAUUUAGUGAAGAUCUGCUGGAUGUUGCAUUUGAACGAGCUCCGUGUUUUUGUGCGGAUGUCGAGUUUCACGCCUCAUCAGUCACUUGCAGUGUUCUGCUACUUGCCACAGCGCUGCGCGCGUUCAAACAAGACGUCGUCAAUGAGCGCAACGACACGGGCUGCAUUCCUUCUUAUGUAACGUUUUAACAACGAAUAUAUUUUUUUCGAAACUACGCCCAUGUGAAAAAUAAUAUUUCCAAUAUACAGAAUAAAUUGAGACCUGAAAAUCACUUAUCAAAAGCUGUGUAUCUGUGGUUCCUGUCACGAAACUGUGUAAAACACGUCAAAAAUGUGUGAUAUUUAAAAUGCAGGUGCCUGAUGGAUAUGAAGAGCUGUCGAUCUAUGGACCUAAUCGUUUUAUGCCGUUAGGCGGAAGGGACAAACAAGCAGCUGACCGCCAAGGUUAACCUCAGCACGCGCGGGCCGAUGCCUCAGGGUCACUUUUCGUCAAGGGUCAGUAACAUUAAAAGAAAUACACAGCAAUCUAAGGUAAAACCUGGAACUGUAAUAAACUGGAAAUUGAAUUGCCCGUAUGAGUGAGGAUGAGUUCCUUAGUGCACAGUGUAGUGAGUGACGUCAUCGCAUCUCAUCAACGUCUACAACAGGAACAGCAGCAUUCAGCAACGCGUGCCCCUGCCUUGCACUUGGAUUCCAAUAACAACAACGGUGGAGCAUUUUCUGUCGUUGAUAACAAACAAAAAUCUGCUGUAAAGGAGAGUGAGAAGUCGUCUAUUAAGGCUGGCAACAGUGGCGAAAAAUAUUCACUAAGACCGCGAUCCUUGCCGAGACGCUCCGAAUCGGAGGAUUCUGACCACACGGGAGGUGCGAAGCGAGGUGCUAAUUCUGGAGCGGGGUCAGCUUCCCGGCCGAAACAGAAGCCACCGCCCCUAAGCAAAUAUCGGCGCAAGACGGCCAACGCCCGAGAAAGAGACCGAAUGCGAGAGAUCAACGCCGCCUUCGAGACGCUCCGUCGCGCAGUGCCUCACAUCUCGACGUCCGCUCACCAGAGCCAGAACGACAGCAUCGGAAGCGAGAAACUCACAAAGAUUACGACGCUGAGACUCGCCAUGAAGUACAUCGCCUCCUUGAGCCAAGCGCUGCAACAGGCCGACAGUUUCAUCCACAUGUCCGAGGUUCCAGCUCCGACACUUCAGCAUCCAAAUUCCAUCAGCAGUAGCAGUAACAGUAGUAAUGGUAGUCUACGACUCAUUUCGGAUGGCGAAUCGCUCACGUUCAGCGAACAAUGCCUUACACCUCCCGACCGCACUCCCCCAAAUUUCACGAAGCAAUGCUUCACUUCUGUCAGCCUGACACGCAUGUCUUCGCCGGACCACAUUCGACACAGGAUUACUCCUCCACCAGAAAACAAUCGUCAGAAUAUCAGUUCCUCGCCUGAAAUUCAAAGAACAAUUUGUAACCAUAGCCAGAAUAUCCUAUCUUCAGAGCUUGGCAUUACGACUCAUUGUAUUCCGUCAGAUUCAACAGGUAACCUGUGCGAUAACCAUCCCUGUGCCGGUCACAGCCGACACUGCCUGCUGUCUCCAGCUGUAGAUCGACAGUGCCUUCAACAUCAACAUCCUUGCGCCCCAAACUCUCAACUGUGCCUCUCAACACCGGUACUCCAGUCCCCAGACCUCAGUCAACAUUGCCUGACGCCCGUAGACUUCGAGGAGCACGCGGCUGAAGAACACUCUGCCUUGUUAGUAUUCGAUGAUGAUUCCUUGGACUCGCCUGAUCUGGAUCACCUGCUAAUCUCAUGACAUCACAAACCUCUUCCAUAUUUAGAACUGGACAGACUGAAACAUCACGAGACAUCUCACUCAGGAUAACGGGUAUCCCGGCCGAGUUUCGAACCGAACGUCUUGAAGUCAUCGCGAUUAAUGAUCGUCUGUGACGACUUUACUUUAGCCAGGCUCUUAACUUCCGGCUACUGAACCUGCUUAAGGUAAUAUCUGUCAGAAAGUUGUCAUUUGUCGUAAACAGUAAAAUCAGAUAGCUGGAAAGUUUAGUGGUUCCAUAAGCGAUGAUAUCGAAGUAGUCUCGUCAAUUUCAGUUAUAGUAGUCAGUUCAAAUUUUAACCCACCUGCAGACAUUAUUAAUAUAUGCAUCUUUAAAGCAAAAUGCUGUUCUCUUAUAUAAUAAACUCAAGAGUCACUGUACCUGGCCACUUUUUAGAAAGUUUGGACAGAAUUAUUUCGACCUUUAUCUCCUCUCUUUGAAUAAAUAUGUGGUCCUAGCAGUCUCAAGAAUACUGGAAGAAAGUUUCUGGGGUACAGUAGUAGGCAGUUAACCAUCUGGUGGUUAGGAACACUGUAGAUUGUGGAAAUUUACUUCCCUGUCCAGCAUAUAAUUCGACUAAUAGUUUUGGUACAGACCACUGCAAGAGGCAUUUAAAAGUCACGCAGGAAAGUAACUUGGCAGAGGUCGCCACAAACACUGCUAGCCCCCAACUAGACAAUCAUAUUAUUAUCUUGCCAACUUUCACUUUUCAAUAUUACCCAUUUCCAUAUCAGGACGGAGAAGCACAAUUCUCGCGAAUAGUAUUUUAGAGAUGAUACAAAAACGGCUUAUUAUACAAGAACAUAAUCUUGACUUUCUCUUUUACAGGCAUUUUUAUUAAAUGGACGGAAUAUUUUAAGCUGGAUUUUAUUACUACUGUAAUUUCCUGAAACGUCGGUAAACCACACUCGCAUAACAUGUUGUCGAGUGUAAAAUGGGAAAACUAAUGCGUCGGUUAACUGCUACCAGAAUAUAGAGUGAAAUAACUCAGCUCUAUACUUCAUGACAGAAAACUUUAGUAAUAUCCUGUGCAGUAAAUCACCUUUAUAAAAAAAAUCAUACUGACUUGAAGAAAGUUUGAUGGGAAAAACUAAGAGAUGACUAGACAUAGGCACAGAAAAUGUAUCUUCAAGAAAAAGGGUGGGAUAUCACGGCCUGCAUUCAUGUCACUCAGAAUAGGGACCGGUGUUGAGACUUGUAAACAUGAUCAUGAAAAUUCGAGUACCAUAAAAGUCAUGGAAGUUAUUAACUAUCUGAGCGACUAUCAGUUUAUCAAGUACUCUGCUCCAUGGACUGACGUGCAGAUCGGUAUAACUCAAAAACAAAUUCUCUUGAACUUACAUUACAGGUGGUUUGGGGCGGACGGAAGAGAUCAUUUCAUUAUGAGUCUCCAUUUUUUAUGAAUUUCAUAAGAAAUAACGAAUUCGUUUAAGAAUGUCAAAAUGUAUUUAUAUAGACCGCUCUUAAAGCCUCCGGUGAAAUGACGGCGCCACGGUAAAACAUUUUCUGCACUCUCAUCACUGUUAUUAUACAGAACAAUGAAAACGCGUCUCCUGACAAAGAAUUUCAUUCUUAUAUAAGACCCCCAAUUGACGGACACCCCAAUUUAUACUGCGUUUAAAUGAACCGUCCAUUCAGUUAUCACGAUGAAACCUUCAAAGUAAUAAACACUGUAAGAUAUAGUUAUAAACAAGAACUUGAAGGUGACAUUCUUCUAUGUUUUUUAUAUCAACCGCUGGAGUCCAUAAAAAUUCUAAGCAUCAACGCGUAAUUUGAAGUCGGUGUCUUAAAUCCACUCCAAAAUAUAAUGGCCAAUGUCCGUCAGGCUUUACUGCAGGAGUGUCGUUCUUGCGAUGCGAAAAGAUAUUAAUUUCUGACGGUGGCGAAUCUGUUAGCAAGAAACCCAAACAAAGCUCUUGGUUAUUCUAAUUUUUUCCCGGCCAAAUUCUGGUACAAAUCCUGGGUAAAAUUCAUCUCUCCUUCCUUCUACAUCCUUGCCAAUUCAUCGUCCACUAAACCAUUCAGUUUUACAUCCAUAACGUAUAAUUUACGCAGAUAAGGUAACGUCGUUAAAUAAACUAACUAAAUCCACUCACGUGACAGCGCCAUUAAAAAUUCUUUCUAUGAUGCUGCAAUGCUCUCAUUUUUCCCCCCACCAUCCUGCGAUUGGUGGACCUACUUUCACCUCCUCAGCAUAUCAAAACAUUCUCUCUGUGAUCAUUAGACAGCCUUUCUCAAAGCCACCCCACCCACUUUCAGCCGUCCUCUGUACAUUCACGCCCCCUGAUCCGCCCAUCGUGCAGUGAAAUUAUAUUUUAAAGACAGCAAGAAGCCAUGUCCAUAAGCCUCUCAUGUGACAUGAACUUAACCGAAUUACAUACGACGAGAUAUGUCGAACUUUUCUUUGAUCCGAUUAAGUCAAUGCUUUUAAAACAAAGGUGAAAGAAAUGUACUUUAUCCGCUCUUUCCAUGUGAGUUACUGAAUUAAAACCCAGAUGACCACAACACGGAUCUUUACCACUGUGAGAGCCUUCGAUGUCAUAAAUGAACGCUGCGGUCUGCAAAAACUGUUAACAGAACAAUCGGAGGGUCCCCACCCUAAAACUUAUUUAACAGGAGACUGUGUGGACGUGUUGGCGGGGGUGGAAAGUCCUUCUCGUUCAGGGAUUCAAACCUCGGUCAACUAAGCCCGUAGCCCGUCAGUAUAUAGCCUACCGAGCGGUUGAUCCUGGAAGGUAAGAUCCUUUUAACCAGAUACAAAUAUUUGCAUUUCACACGUCAAACAACUCCAAGUUUGCAUUUCGAAAGUAACGUGAACCAGUUGGUAGCAGUCCGGUUUUGAGAGCAAGGCUGUCAGGGUCAGAGAUCAGAAGUCUGGACAUGAUUAUGAUUUGUCAUACUUACAUGAUAUGAUAUGACAUAUUAAAUAUUAAGAAAUACCCGCACUGGUUAUGUACCUUUCUACAAAUACUUGUCCCUACCGCAACAUCAGGCAACUUUCAUAAAGAUAACUCCGCGUUCAGUUUACAGCGAUGUAAACUAGUCUGCUUUAAUUUGCUGUCAAGAUUGCUUCUUGUUCUGACAGUAAAACUUCUGCUGUUCUGGACGACAUGAUGGAAAAAGUAAUUGUCACAAUUAGCGAGUGAAGAACCCACAUGGCGACGAAGACUGACUUAAACUAGUACAGUAGAAUUUUAAUCAGCCAUUCUGAGUCACUGUGCAGCAUUUAUGACGACGGUCAAGCAUAAAUUUAUGCUGGGAGGUGAAACAUAACGCCCACGCUCUUCAGUUAUGUCGUGUAUUUCUUCAAUAUCAGGAUAACGCGCAUCUUCAAAGGCCUUAGAAGCUUUAUAACUUCUGCAGUUGCCAAGGAUCAGCCCUGUUCUCGGAUAUCAUCAACUUGCUAUAUUAUCCUAAUGUAGCAGACCGCGUUUUAAGCCAAUACAAACUUAAAACAAAGCAGGCACAUCGCAGACUUAAUUAUAUGGCAAUUUUUAACAUUUUAAGCACUGUCCAAAUUUAAUCUGACCUUCAUUAUCUGUUACAAAAUAUUUAAUUUUACUUAAGUCCUUACUUAUAGACUUAAUCGUAGGUUUUGUUAAAACACAUUUUAAUUAGCACAAAUUGCUUUAUGGGUAGUACAUAUCGAAUGUAAUAAUAAUAUUCGUAUUGUACAUUAAUCCCUUCCUAAAUUAAAUAUGUACAAAAUUGAAACAAAUGGACAGAUAAUGUUUCUUUUUGAUUUUAUCACGACAUUUUCGUAAUGUCCAGACUACAUAUCUACUCCGGUUAAACCAAUAGAAAUAUAAAACCUAAGCUCCACACACUU